CGUCAAAGCUUGAUUAUAAAACUCAACUAAUACCAAAAAUAAAUUAAAACCCUACCUCAAUACUGAGAAAUUUCAUACACUUAUGAAAGCUAUAAUGUUAAAACUAGUAACAUGAAAUUUAAACUUUCUCUUAAAUGCGAGUAUAAGUCAAAAUGGAUAACACCACUGACAAUUAACAGCCUAAACUAAAGUGUUAACCUAACAAGAAAACCUCACUAACCCAUCUGUUAAUCUAACACAAGAGCAUUAAAAGAAAGACUAAAAGAAAAAGAAGGAACUCGGCAAAUAAUCAAUUCCGCCUGUUUACCAAAAACAUCGCCUCCUGAAUAUCAUAAGAGGUCCAGCCUGCCCAGUGACUCUGUUUAACGGCCGCGGUAUCCUAACCGUGCGAAGGUAGCGUAAUCACCUGUUUUUUAAUUAAAGACCUGUAUGAAAGGCAUCACGAGAAUUACACUGUCUCCUUUUUCAAGUCAGUGAAACUAAUCUCCCUGUGAAAAAGCAGGGAUACUUCUACAAGACGAGAAGACCCUUUGGAGCUUAAGACAAAUAAGUAUUUGCCCCCCUUUUUCUAUUAUACCACAUGGCACUAUAUUUAAAAGUCUUGGGUUGGGGCAACCGCGGAGAAUAAACAAACCUCCAGGCUGAAUGGAAAUUUCCUUAACAAAAAGCAACAACUUUAUGUAUCAAAAAAUUGACACAUUUUGACCCAAUAUAUUUUGACUAACGAACCAAGUUACCCUAGGGAUAACAGCGCAAUCCACUUCAAGAGUUCCUAUCGAAAAGUGGGCUUACGACCUCG
rnacentral:rRNA from 1 species